rnacentral:rRNA from 1 species
AGGGCAUAUGUCUUGUAAUUGGAAUGAUGCCGACUUAAACCCUCGGCAGAGUACCAAUUGGAGGGCAAGUCUGGUGCCAGCAGCCGCGGUAAUUCCAGCUCCAAUAGCGUAUAUUAAACUUGUUGCAGUUAAAAAGCUCGUAGUUGAAUUUGAGCUUGCGCGAUUCCGUUAUUGGAGUAUUGCGCUUGCUUUUUUGUUACUUUGAGAAAAUUAGAGUGUUUCAAGCAGACUUUUGUCUUGAAUACUUCAGCAUGGAAUAAUAGAGUAGGACCUUGGUUCUAUUUUGUUGGUUUUUGAGCCUUGGUAAUGGUUAAUAGGAACGGUUGGGGGCAUUCGUAUUUAA